AUGUCGUCCUCCGAAGAGGAGAAGGCGGCCGGCGCCAAUGGCGAGCAGCGGCUGCAGGAGGGAGAGGACGAGGGCGUGCUGGCGGCGGCGAUGGAGCAGCUGGCGGCGGAGGGGGUGCGGGCGCUGCACGCGCGGGUGGAGGCGGAGUGGGACCCCGUGCUGCAGAGCGCGUGCCAGACGGCGGCCGUGCGGGCGCUGUGGGCGAGCGCGGUGCGGGACCCGGCCGCCGGGGUGCUGGCCGGGGAGCGCCACCUCAGGGGCCUCCACGAGAAGAUGCGCCGCGACGAGCGCACCGGCGCGCGCGAGGUGCACGGGGUCAUGAUCGCCGUGCGCACGCUCUGGUUCGACGCCCGCAUCGAGGCCGCCGUCGCCGGCCUCGGCGGCGCCGCGCAGGUCGUCCUCCUCGGCGCAGGGAUGGACGCAAGAGCCUAUCGACUGGGCUGCCUAAAGGACUGCGCCGUAUUUGAACUCGACUUUGCAGAUCUCCUAGAUAUGAAAUCAGAUAUUCUGCAUGAAGCAAUGAGUUCUGGAAAUCAUCAAAAACUCACCAUGAUGGCAAAAUCAUUGACUAGAGUUCCUGCUGAUAUACGAGAUGUUGACUGGAUGACCAAGCUACAGAGUUGUGGGUAUGUUCCUGAAAGAAAUACUGUAUGGGUUCUUGAAGGAAUCCUCUAUUACCUUCAUCAUGUGCAUGCGAUGCAAGUCCUUGAAACCAUUGCGGCAUGCCGCACCUCAGCCUGCACGGUCCUCCUUGCUGACUUUAUGAACAAGAAUGCGGCAUCACUGUCGCAGACGAUGUACCAUUUCUACCACGACAGCCCUGAUCUCCUACUGCCUUCUAUCGGGUUCUCUCAGGCAAUGUUGUCACAAAUUGGAGACCCCCAAGCACAUUUUGGUCUCCUAAAUCAUCCACAAAAUCUGUUUGAUAAGCUGAGGAGAUUGCCAAGAACAGUGGAGAUUAAUCCAGAGGAUGGCACACCAUGCCGAAGAUUGUAUUUGGUAGAAGCCUCUGCUUCUCCAGAUGAUCACACCACUUUAUAA
rnacentral:rRNA from 1 species